rnacentral:rRNA from 1 species
CAUGAAGCUGGAAUCGCUAGUAAUCGCGGAUCAGAAUGCCGCGGUGAAUACGUUCCCGGGUCUUGUACACACCGCCCGUCACACCAUGGGAGUCGGAAAUGCCCGAAGUCUGUGACCCAACCGCGAGGAGGGAGCAGCCGAAGGCAGGUCGGAUGACUGGGGUGAAGUCGUAACAAGGUACC